rnacentral:rRNA from 1 species
GCAAGUCGAGGGGUAACAGGGAGUGCUUGCACUCUGCUGACGACCGGCGCACGGGUGCGUAACGCGUAUGCAACCUACCUUCUACAGGGGGAUAGUCAAUAGAAAUGUUGAAUAAUACCCUAUACGAUCUUUGAAUAGCAUUAUUUAAAGAAGAAAGUUCCGGCGGUAGAAGAUGGGCAUGCGUCCUAUUAGUUAGUUGGUGAGGUAGUGGCUCACCAAGGCGACGACGGGUAGCCGGCCUGAGAGGGCGACC